GAAGGAUCCCUGUUUCAUGACUUUAUGCACUCAACUGACAAAUCAUUGGCGCAAGCUUUCAACACUACCGAGGUUGGGAGAUAAAGGUUGGGAGCUCAUCCACAGAGUUGGCUGGAUUGGCAGCAGUACCUGAAAUCCAGUAUGGGUUUGUUUGUCCAGUGAAUUGCUGAUGAACAUCGGAUCAUUUUCAGUGUUUAGAUAUUAUUGAUUUAGCUAUUAAUGAGAUUCCGUGUACAAGACAUUUCUACUGCAGUGAAACCCCUGGUCAUAUGAUGUCAUCUCCUGGGUUCCUGCUUUGAUGAAAGAUGAUUGAGUUGAAACCCUAACCCCCAAUACGACUGCGUUUGGAGAUCGGGCUUAUACAGAGGUAAAGAUUGACGAGAUCCUAUAGAUGGGGCCUUAGAUUCCUAGGGCUGGUGUACGUAAGAAGAGGAAGAGACUCUAGGGAUCUGUGCCUCUCUCUCUCUGCUCCCACCCCUGCUCCACGCAUGAACAGAGAAGAGUUCAUUUAAGGACACAGCAAGAAAGGUGCCGUCUAAAAGCCAGGAAGAGAAACCUCUCCAGUAACUGCAUUUGUUGGCACCUUGAUUGUGUACUUCAAGCCUCCAAAACUGAGAAAUGCAUCUGUGUUGUUUGAGCCACCCUGUCUUUCGUAUUUUAUUAUGGCAACUCAAGCCAUGAAUCUGCUCCCUUUCCCCAGAUUUCUGCCUGAGGAAAGGCUCCAACGCCCCAGCUCCACCCUGGAUACAUUGUGCUUCUGCCCUGGAGCACUACUGAUGGGCUAAGAUUUUGUGUCUUUGCUUCCCUUCUUGGGCACAACCACAUCCUAGAUACCACUUUCUGUCUUCUUGGUUUAUUUUCUUAUUUACGGGUGUACAACCUGAUGUAACUUCCUGAGAAAGGGUGUUUUCAGGGUAAAUAUUCUCAGUCUUUGAAUAGUGAACACAUGUAUAUUUUACCUUCACAUUUUAUUCAUAGUUUGGAUAGGUAACACUUUUUUUUUUAGAUAAAAAGUUUUUUUUUUUCUUUUUUUUGAGAUGGAGUUUCACUCUUGUUGGCCAGGCUGGAGUGCAAUAGUGCGGUCUUGGUUCACUGCAAUCUCCACCUCCCAGAUUCAUGUGAUUCUCCUGCCUUAGCCUCCCCAGUACCUGGGAUUACAGGUGCACACCACCACACCUGGCUAUUUUUUUUUUUUUUUGAAUUUUUAGUAGAGACAGGGUUUCACCAUGUUGGCCAGGCUGGUCUCAAAACUCCUGACUUCAGGUGAUCCACCCACCUUGGCUUCCCAAAGUGCUGGGAUUACAGGCAAGAGCCACCGUGCCUGGCCAAAAAUUAAAGAUUAAAAAUAUUUUUCUCUCAGAAAUUUUCCUCAAAUAUUACUAAUAAAAUGUCUACAUUCCAUUACCUGAUAGAAAAACUGUUUUUCUGUAUUGUUGUUCAUUUAUUUGCUUGCUGCUAGUUUUAAAUCUGGAAGGUUUUAGAUUCUCUUUACUUUUGGCAUUCUUAUUUCACAAUGGUGUACCUAGGUUUCUGUAUGUUACAUUUAUUUUUCUAGUGAUGUAAUGUGUUCUCAUAUUCUUAAGACAUGUCAUGUGUAACAGCCAGUUCGUAGGGGCUCCCAGAGGCCACAUUUAAGAUACACAUUUGUGUAUCUACAAUAAAGAUGAUAACAGUGGAUAACAA